CAGGCCCGCCUCCCGGAAGUCCUGAUGGGAGCAGUAAAUAAGAGGGUUCAGACCACAGUCCAGGUAUGACAUCACUGACGACAGUGUUCUUAACCAAUCAGGUGCCGGUGACAGGUCCAUCCUGCCCAGCAGGAUCAGCUGAUGGAGAGGUCAACGAGAAGAAAGAAACAGACAGUCUAUGAGUGGACGUGUGUGUUCGCUCUGUGGUGUCUGUGUACACGCAGAUACAGAUGUUGUUUCAUGUAGUGAGUGAGUGCAUGUGUCACCUCAGACACAAUGAAGGGAGUGUAGCAGAGCAUGUAGGAGGCCACCAGCAGAGGAGUGACUGCAGACAGAUCUUCAUCAUCACUGAGACAAAGAGGGAACAAGAUGAUGAGAGGAGCAAAUAACAGGCUGUUUGUUUACAAGUUCUCCUCCAUGCAGUUGGCCAUGUUCUACAGUAGCUCAGAAUGGACAAACCAAACACUCAGUAUGUUUAUAUGCACAGUGAAGUUGAGUUACCUGUUGCAGCUCGCGUGGCAGCCAGUGGCACUCAGUAGAGAGCAGAAGAAAAUAAUGAGGAAGGGGAAGAAGAUGCAGAUGGAGAAAGCACAGAGAAUGUAGACCAACAUGUCUGAGUAGCUGUUUUCCCAGAAGACGGCACACAGCAUCUCUGCAGGGUCGUACCUGGAGGAAAGAUAAUGGAGGUGAACAGAGCAGAAACAACAUGGAGCUCUAACUGAAAGCAUCAAGUAAAGUACAUACUUUAUCCAACUGUAGACAACAGGAACGCUUCCAAACACAAUUCCUGUAACCCAAGAUGCCAAGCAGCAAAGAGCACUUCCUGUUGAGGGGAUGCCAAUCAGACGUUGCAAACAGAGGACAGCUGUAAAGGAAAAGAGAAACCCUCAAACUCACUGCAUCAGAGGACUUAUGAGACUGUUGCCUACUAUAAAGUGUGUUUAGCCGUACCUAUGCUCCCUAUGGAGGAGGUGAUGAAGGCAAACUUGAGCAGGCUGACGACCUCACACCACGGUGACCUCUGACCUCCUGUCAGCAUGGCAAACAGGGAGCCGGAGAUGAUGAGGAGGGAGCACCCUUCACGACACAACGAUUAAUUAUCAGACAUGACGACUUCCUGUGCUGAGAUUACAUGUCAACCACUGUGGCGAAUGUGUUUUAAUACUAGAAUGAAAACUAGAAUUAUGAGUUGAGUUGAGAGACAGUAGGAUACACCAAGAACGUAAAUUAAAAAUAUGAUUAUAGCUGUUGCACAGCAGUGAAUUUGGGCCAGGCAUUUUGAGGAGGAAGAAGACAUUUGUUUGUUUCAUAUGUAUCAGCAUUUCUACAGUGACUUGGUAUAUGAGCUGCUUUGUCAUCUGGAGGAGGAAGGGAUGUUGGAUGGUAUGACACCUAGUGAGACACCUGCCAAGCUGCAGACCAUUCUCUUUUAGCGAGUCAUUGCAGUGUCUCCAGUGGCUUUUAUCCACCAAACAUGGUGUUUUUUAGAGACGUUAUGAAGCGUUUCCAGCAGGGAUUGUGCCAUCAAAGCCAAAACAUGAUCUUUUCCUCACCAUUACCAAGUGUUUUUUACUCCUAAACCUAACAAUGUUCAUCAUAGUGCUGUUGAAACAUAAAGAAAGAUAAAGCUGCAGUCUAUUCCCUACAUAAUAAUUCACAAAUGUAACUUCUCUGAGGUUUGCAGAAAAGUGCAACACCAACAUUUAUUGAAAGGCAGAUGUCAAAAUAGUGUCAAAAAUACA